rnacentral:tRNA from 1 species
GGGGAUAUAGCUCAGCUGGGAGAGCGCUUCAAUGGCAUUGAAGAGGUCAUGGGUUCGAGCCCCAUUAUCUCCACCA